rnacentral:rRNA from 1 species
AUUGAACGCUGGCGGCAUGCCUUACACAUGCAAGUCGAACGGCAGCACGGGUGCUUGCACCUGGUGGCGAGUGGCGAACGGGUGAGUAAUACAUCGGAACGUACCUUAUCGUGGGGGAUAACGCAGCGAAAGCUGUGCUAAUACCGCAUACGCCCUGAGGGGGAAAGCGGGGGAUCGAAAGACCUCGCGCGAUUCGAGCGGCCGAUGCCUGAUUAGCUUGUUGGUGGGGUAAAAGCCCACCAAGGCGACGAUCAGUAGCUGGUCUGAGAGGACGAUCAGCCACACUGGGACUGAGACACGGCCCAGACUCCUACGGGAGGCAGCAGUGGGGAAUUUUGGACAAUGGGGGCAACCCUGAUCCAGCAAUGCCGCGUGAGUGAAGAAGGCCUUCGGGUUGUAAAGCUCUUUUGUCAGGGAAAAAACACCGGCUCUAACACAGUCCGGGAGUGACGGUACCUGAAGAAUAAGCACCGGCUAACUACGUGCCAGCCGCCGCAGUAA